rnacentral:RNase_P_RNA from 1 species
UAAGUAGAGCAGAUGGUCGCGGCUGGCUGUCCGAAAGGUGCCAGGCGAGGAAAGUCCGGGCUUCACAGGGCAGGAUGCCGGAUAACGUCCGGUGGAGGCGACUCCAAGGAAAGUGCAACAGAAAUGUACCGCCGCAGUUUAUUCGCGGCAAGGGUGGAAGGGCAGUGUAAGAGACUACCGCCCGCCUGGUAACAGGCGGGGCAAAUGUAAACCCCAUCCGAAGCAAGACCGAAACGAAGCAUAUGGCGGCCCGUCAGCUUCAGGUAGGUCGCUUGAGCCUGAUGGCAACAUCAGGCCUGGAUAGAUGACCAUCCAACGACAUAACCCGGCUUAUCGCUCUGCUUAGUUG